rnacentral:rRNA from 1 species
CUUGGGUACUCGAGUGGCGAACGGGUGAGUAACACGUGGGUGAUCUGCCCUGCACUUCGGGAUAAGCCUGGGAAACUGGGUCUAAUACCGGAUAGGACCACAUUUUGGAUGGUGUGGUGGAAAGUUUUUCGGUGUGGGAUGAGCUCGCGGCCUAUCAGCUUGUUGGUGGGGUAAUGGCCUACCAAGGCGUCGACGGGUAGCCGGCCUGAGAGGGUGUACGGCCACACUGGGACUGAGACACGGCCCAG